UAGUUCUUGUUGGAGAAGCAGGGCACGUGCAAAACAAAUUAAACCCUCCUCUUUGCACGUGCUCCCCUUCUCCAACAUGGCCUU
rnacentral:pre_miRNA from 1 species